rnacentral:rRNA from 1 species
UCGGGAAUAUUGCGCAAUGGAGGAAACUCUGACGCAGUGACGCCGCGUAUAGGAAGAAGUUUUUCGGAAUGUAAACUAUUGUCGUUAGGGAAGAGAAAGGACAGUACCUAAGGAGGAAGCUCCGGCUAACUACGUGCCAGCAGCCGCGGUAAUACGUAGGGAGCGAGCGUUAUCCGGAAUUAUUGGGUGUAAAGGGUGCGUAGACGGGAAAACAAGUUAGUUGUGAAAUCCCUCGGCUUAACUGAGGAACUGCAACUAAAACUAUUUUUACUUGAGUGCAGGAGAGGUAAGUGGAAUUCCUAGUGUAGCGGUGAAAUGCGUAGAUAUUAGGAGGAACACCAGUGGCGAAGGCGACUUACUGGACUGUAACUGACGUUGAGGCACGAAAGUGUGGGGAGCAAACAGGAUUAGAUACC